rnacentral:lncRNA from 12 species
CCCCCCCCCCCCCCCCCCCCCCCCCCCCCCCCCCCCCCCCCCCCCCCCCCCCCCCCCCCCCCCCCCCCCCCCCAGGAAUGCUCCCCUGCCUCUGCUCCAGGUUCCCAGUGUCCCAGGAAUGCUCCCCUGCCUCUGCUCCAGGUUCCCAAUACUCCAGGAAUGCUCCUCUGCCUCUGCUCUGAGUUCCCAAUACUUCAGGAAUGCUCCCCUGCCUCUGCUCCAGGUUCCCAGUGUCCCAGGAAUGCUCCCAUGCCUCUGCUCCAGGUUCCCAGUGUCCCAGGAAUGCUCCCCUGCCUCUCUCCAGGUUCCCAAUACUCCAGGAAUGCUCCCCUGCCUCUGCUCUGGGUUCCCAAUGUCCCAGGAAUGCUCCCCUGCCUCUCUUCAGGUUCCCAAUAGUCCAGGAAUGCUCCCCUGCAUCUCUCCAGGUUCCCAAUACUCCAGGAAUGCUCCCAUGCCUCUGCUCCGGGUUCCCAAUGCCCCAGGAAUGCUCUUCUGCCUUUCCUCCGGGCUCACAGUGCCCCAGGAAUGCUCCCCUGCCUCUCUCCGGGUUCCCAAUUCCAGCACGAGGAGCUGCAGCAGCAAACCUGGCCCAGGGAUUCCAGCUGCUGGAAUUCCAGCCCCGCCGUGGUGCCACACCUUGGAAUGCUCCCAGGGAAGCGGCCCCUGCGGGGAUGUGGGAGCAGCACGCGUGGACCCGAGCUGUGACACGCACAGAAUGAAAACCUGAGAUCCUGGAGGACACAUUAGAGUGUAAAGAGCGUGAAACUAGGAAACAUCUCGCAGCUCCCUGCCUGCAGAGAUCUGCUCACUCGGGCCAGAUCUGGAGCCAUGGAGAAGGAGCAAAGCAGAAGAGCUUUGUCUCUGUUGCGACCCUUCAGAGAUUUGAAACCUGAC